AUAAGUGUAGAGGUCAACCGUGAUCACUUAGGCGGUUCCUUCAGGGAGAUGCUGGCUCAUUGCAUACAGAGUCAGAGUCAGUGAUCCCUGCGAGUAUCCGUAAUGUGGAUACUUCGGACGCAUAAUUUUUGUUAGCCGGGACUGCGUACGCGCGUCCCUC